AUACGGAGGGUGCAAGCGUUAAUCGGAAUUACUGGGCGUAAAGCGCGUGUAGGCGGUUUGGUAAGUCAGAUGUGAAAGCCCUGGGCUCAACCCGGGAAGUGCAUUUGAAACUGCCUUUCUUGAGUAUGGGAGAGGAGAGUGGAAUUCCCAGUGUAGAGGUGAAAUUCGUAGAUAUUGGGAGGAACACCCGUGGCGAAGGCGACUCUCUGGACCAAUACUGACGCUGAGACGCGAAAGCGUGGGGAGCAAACAGGAUUAGAAACCCCAGUAGUCC
rnacentral:rRNA from 1 species